rnacentral:rRNA from 1 species
CACGUAGGGAGCAAGCGUUGUCCGGAUUUAUUGGGCGUAAAGAGCUCGUAGGCGGUUCCGUAAGUCAGGUGUGAAACCUCCAGGCUCAACCUGGAGACGCCACCUGAUACUGCGGUGACUGGAGUCCGGUAGGGGAGCGUGGAAUUCCUGGUGUAGCGGUGAAAUGCGCAGAUAUCAGGAAGAACACCCGUGGCGAAAGCGGCUCUCUGGGACGGUACUGACGCUGAGACGCGAAAGCGUGGGGAGCGAACAGG